rnacentral:rRNA from 1 species
CCUACGGGGCGCAGCAGUGGGGAAUAUUGCACAAUGGGGGAAACCCUGAUGCAGCGACGCCGCGUGAGUGAAGAAGUAUCUCGGUACGUAAAGCUCUAUCAGCGGGGAAGAAAAUGACGGUACCUGACUAAGAAGCCCCGGCUAACUACGUGCCAGCAGCCGCGGUAAUACGUAGGGGGCAAGCGUUAUCCGGAUUUACUGGGUGUAAAGGGAGCGUAGACGGCAGCACAAGUCUGGAGUGAAAUCCCGGGGCUUAACCCCGGAACUGCGUUGGAUACUGGGCGGCUGGAGUGCCGGAGGGGUAAGCGGAAUUCCUAGUGUAGCGGUGAAAUGCGUAGAUAUUAGGAGGAACACCGGUGGCGUAGGCGGCUUACUGGACUGUAACUGACGUUGAGGCUCGAAAGCGGGGGGAGCAAACGGGAUUAGGUACCCGGGUAGUC